rnacentral:rRNA from 1 species
CAUCUCACUUCUCAGAGCGGCGGACGGGUGAGUAAUGCGUGAACAAUCUACCGGCAAGACUGGGACAACACCGGGAAACUGGUGCUAAUACCGGAUAAUCUCCACCGGCGGCAUCGUUGGUGGAGGAAAGUCGGCCUCUGGAUAUGCUGGCGCUUGUCGAUGAGUUCACGUCCCAUUAGCUUGUUGGUGGGGUAACGGCCCACCAAGGCGACGAUGGGUAGCCGGCCUGAGAGGGUGGUCGGCCACACUGGGACUGAGACACGGCCCAGACUCCUACGGGAGGCAGCAGUGGGGAAUCUUCCGCAAUGGGCGCAAGCCUGACGGAGCGACGCCGCGUGAGGGACGAAGGCCUUCGGGUUGUAAACCUCUUUUCUGGGGGAAGAACGUCCGGCCUGUUAAUAGCGGGUUGGGUUGACGGUACCUCAGGAAUAAGCCCCGGCUAACUACGUGCCAGCAGCCGCGGUAAUACGUAGGGGGCGAGCGUUGUCCGGAAUCACUGGGCGUAAAGGGCGCGUAGGCGGCUUGAGAAGUCGCAGGUGAAAUCCCGCGGCUCAACCGUGGAACUGCCUGCGAAACCAUUGGGCUUGAGGACAGGAGAGGGAAGCGGAAUUCCUGGUGUAGCGGUGAAAUGCGUAGAUAUCAGGAGGAACACCAGUGGCGAAGGCGGCUUUCUGGCCUGGUCCUGACGCUGAGGCGCGAAAGCUAGGGGAGCAAACAGGAUUAGAUACCCUGGUAGUCCUAGCUGUAAACGAUGGGCACUAGGUGUUGGGGGGUUCAUACCCUUCAGUGCCGUAGGUAACCCAAUAAGUGCCCCGCCUGGGGAGUACGGUCGCAAGACUGAAACUCAAAGGAAUUGACGGGGGCCCGCACAAGCGGUGGAGCAUGUGGUUUAAUUCGAUGCAACGCGAAGAACCUUACCAGGGUUUGACAUGUCGGUGGUACGGAGUGGAAACACGAAGGACCCUUCGGGGAGCCGGUACAGGUGGUGCAUGGUUGUCGUCAGCUCGUGCCGUGAGGUGUUGGGUUAAGUCCCGCAACGAGCGCAACCCUUACUUCUAGUUGCCAGCGGGUUAAGCCGGGCACUCUAGAGGGACUGCCGUCGACAAGGCGGAGGAAGGUGGGGAUGACGUCAAAUCAUCAUGCCCUUUAUACCCUGGGCUACACACGUGCUACAAUGGCCGGUACAGCGGGAAGCUAAGGCGUGAGCUGGAGCAAAUCCCAAAAAGCCGGUCCAAGUUCGGAUUGCAGGCUGCAACUCGCCUGCAUGAAGUCGGAAUCGCUAGUAAUCGCAGUCAGCAUAACUGCGAGACAC